rnacentral:misc_RNA from 1 species
CCGUUACCGUCCUGUGGCACACGCCAUGUUUUUUUUAGAGUGGGUAGAUAGAUUUGAGCACGAUUAACUAUGGAUCCCUUUAACAGUGCCCAGGAUGUGCACCUAUGUGACCUUUGUGAGACCGCCAUAGUACACAGCUACUGUAACUUUUGUCAUGUCAACCUCUGCACGUCAUGUAUAGGCAAACACAUCACAGAUGGGUAUGACAAACAUAAAAUUGUUCCUUACCAGGAACGAUCAACCCUCAUUUAUCCGAAAUGUGGAACACAUCCACACAAAACCUGCGAAUUACAGUGCAAAAAUUGCAAUGACAUUUUUGUUUGUUCUUCCUGCACUGCAUCUGAACAACAUAUGGGACAUAUAUUUGUAGAGGUUUCAACUGUUUACAAGGCAAAGAAAGAUAAUAUUGAAAAAGAUACAGAAGAGAUAGUAAAAACUAUUUCUCCUACAUAUGAAGAAAUUGCAAGCGAGUUGGACAAUCAGCUUGCCAACCUGGAUGGAGGAUAUAAGAAAAUUACGACAGCAAUGUCCAAACAAGGAGAGCAAUGGCACAGAGAAAUUGACAUCGUUGUCAAUAAAAUGAAAACUGAAAUCAGUGAAAUAAAAGUAAAACACAGAGACUUAUUACAGAAACACUUGGAUGAAAUCAAACAGAUACAGGCUCUCAUAAAACAAACAUUACUAGCCAUAGAGGAAAUCAAGAAAUCCACUGAAGUAUCUCCUACCAUUGAAUACAGCUCUAAGAUCAGAGAUUUCAGCAAGUUUCCACCGAAGAUUGAGGUAUCACUGCCAACAUUCAUUCCAAAACCGACAGACCAUGAGAAGCUGUAUAUUUUGUUUGGACAGAUCACCCCAUUUAUAUCUACUGCUCCAAAAAAUAAAGUCUUGUCACUAAACAAACCCAACACUUCAUCCAGAGAACUACUGGAUGAACCGGAGCUUCUUGUCACAAUACAGACUGGGUAUAAAAAAUUACGUAAUGUGACCUGUCAAAAUGAGGACAGGAUAUGGGCCAGUGGAAUGAUAAAUAAUAUCAAAUGCUUCAAUUUUAAAGGUUCACUCCUUCAGAAAAUCCAGACAAAAUCAGGUAAUUUUCCCAGUUAUAUAACCGUAGACUAUGAUGAGUAUCUACUGUACUCUUACAGGUCAACAAGGACAGUGUAUAAAGUAAAGAAUGGAAAGACAGAAGAGUUGAUCAGACUACAGGGGUGGAAGCCUUGUCAGCUGUGUGUCACCUCUACUGGUGAUCUCCUGGUUACCAUGUUCAGUGAUGAUGAAACUCAAUCCAAAGUUGUCCGUUACUUGGGAUCCACAGAUAAACAAACAAUUCAAUUUGAUGAUGAAGGUAAACCUCUGUACUCGGGAAAUCAAAAGAUUAAAUACAUCUCGGAGAACAGAAAUCAUGACAUCUGUGUAGCUGACUAUUGGGCUGGUGCAGUAGUUGUAGUGAAUCAGGAUGGAAAACUCAGAUGGAGAUACACCGGGCAACUCUUAGUUACCAAGAACAAUCCAUUUAAACCCUAUGGUAUCACAACAGACGGUCAGAGUCGUAUCCUGACAGCAGACAGAGACAACCAUUGUAUCCACAUUCUGGAUCAGAAUGGACAUUUCUCCGUUACAUUGAUAACUGUGAUCUGGAGUAUUCCACUGGUUUAUGUGUGGACAAUAAUGACAAUCUGUUUGUGUGUGAGUUAUACAAAGGCAAUGUAAAGAAAAUCAAAUAUUUAAAAUAGAUAUCAGAGUUUGUGAAAAUAUUGUUAGUAAAGCAAAAUUUUACAGUGAAUGUUUCAAUAAGAUAUACAUAUAUGCAUUUUUUUCUCAUUUAACAUUUAUCAAAUUAAUAGUAUACAUUUGUUAAAUGAAAAUGUGUUGUUUUGUUUCAAAUAGAUUUGACACGUACU